GGGUGCUAUACAUGCAGUCGAACGCACUCCUCGUUUAGAUUGAAGGAGCUUGCUCCCUGAUUGAUAAACAUUUGAGUGAGUGGCGGACGGGUGAGUAACACGUGGGUAACCUGCCCUAAAGUGGGGGAUAACAUUUGGAAACAGAUGCUAAUACCGCAUAAAACCUAACACCGCAUGGUGUAGGGUUGAAAGAUGGUUUCGGCUAUCACUUUAGGAUGGACCCGCGGUGCAUUAGUUAGUUGGUGAGGUAAAGGCUCACCAAGACCGUGAUGCAUAGCCGACCUGAGAGGGUAAUCGGCCACACUGGGACUGAGACACGGCCCAGACUCCUACGGGAGGCAGCAGUAGGGAAUCUUCCACAAUGGACGAAAGUCUGAUGGAGCAACGCCGCGUGAGUGAAGAAGGUUUUCGGAUCGUAAAACUCUGUUGUUGGAGAAGAAUGUAUCUGAUAGUAACUGAUCAGGUAGUGACGGUAUCCAACCAGAAAGCCACGGCUAACUACGUGCCAGCAGCCGCGGUAAUACGUAGGUGGCAAGCGUUGUCCGGAUUUAUUGGGCGUAAAGCGAGCGCAGGCGGUUUCUUAAGUCUGAUGUGAAAGCCUUCGGCUCAACCGAAGAAGUGCAUCGGAAACUGGGAAACUUGAGUGCAGAAGAGGACAGUGGAACUCCAUGUGUAGCGGUGAAAUGCGUAGAUAUAUGGAAGAACACCAGUGGCGAAGGCGGCUGUCUGGUCUGUAACUGACGCUGAGGCUCGAAAGCAUGGGUAGCAAACAGGAUUAGAUACCCUGGUAGUCCAUGCCGUAAACGAUGAGUGCUAGGUGUUGGAGGGUUUCCGCCCUUCAGUGCCGCAGCUAACGCAUUAAGCACUCCGCCUGGGGAGUACGACCGCAAGGUUGAAACUCAAAGGAAUUGACGGGGGCCCGCACAAGCGGUGGAGCAUGUGGUUUAAUUCGAAGCAACGCGAAGAACCUUACCAGGUCUUGACAUCCUUUGACCACUCUAGAGAUAGAGCUUUCCCUUCGGGGACAAAAUGACAGGUGGUGCAUGGGUGUCGUCAGCUCCUGUCCUGAAAUGUUGGGUUAAGUCCCGGACGAACGCAACCCUUAUUACUAGUUGCCAGCAUUUAGUUGG
rnacentral:rRNA from 1 species